rfam:Colletotrichum incanum strain MAFF 238704 contig752, whole genome shotgun sequence.
AGCGGAUUGAUGUAAUAGUAACAUAUUUGACUCAUGAUCAAAUUACAAAGGUGCGAAUCCUUUAUCCGUAU